ACGGGAGGCAGCAGUGGGGGAUAUUGCACAAUGGGGGAAACCCUGAUCCAGCGACGCCGCGUGAGUGAAGAAGUAUUUCGGUAUGUAAAGCUCUAUCAGCAGGGAAGAAAAUGACGGUACUUGACUAAGAAGCUCCGGCUAAAUACGUGCCAGCAGCCGCGGUAGUACGUAUGGUGCAAGCGUUAUCCGGAUUUACUGGGUGUAAAGGGAGCGUAGACGGCAAAGCAAGUCUGAAGUGAAAUCCCGGGGCUCAACCCCGGAACUGCAUUUGAAACUGUUUAGCUAGAGUGCAGGAGAGGUAAGCGGAAUUCCUAGUGUAGCGGUGAAAUGCGUAGAUAUUAGGAGGAACACCAGUGGCGAAGGCGGCUUACUGGACGGUAACUGACGUUGAGGCUCGAAGGCGUGGGGAGCAAACAGGAUUAGAUACCCUGGUA
rnacentral:rRNA from 1 species